CCUACGGGAGGCAGCAGUAAGGAAUAUUGGUCAAUGGGGGAGAGCCUGAACCAGCCAUGCCGCGUGCAGGAGGACGGCCCUACGGGUUGUAAACUGCUUUUGCACGGGAACAAAUCCCACUUUCGUGAAAGUGGCUGANNGUACCGNGNGAAUAANGAUCGGCUAACUCCAUGCCAGCAGCCGCGGUAAU
rnacentral:rRNA from 1 species